rnacentral:misc_RNA from 1 species
GGAUUCUCUUUCUCCAUUCUAAACAAUUUUGGGUUAAAUCCCGGAAAUGUGUCAGAAAUGUAUAAUGUUUCUACGUCGUGUUAUACUAUUUUCCUUCAAGUUUAGGUUUACCCCUUCUUUUUUUUCUAUCCUCUAACACAUUCAUUCGAUGUGCUUUAGUUGUCUAACUGUAGCCUCUCCGGCCUAAGCAGUUUGUGCUUAGCCGAUCUCAAGCUCAGAUAAAUGAGGAGGGUUGUCAGCUUAAAAAUUUCAUUUAUGGAUUCUUGUUGGAAUAAAACAAUAAAAGAUAAAAUCAUAUACGAAAAAUAACAACAAUUUUUUUUUGUAAAAGAAAAAUAAAAAACAAUUUCCUCUACUUUCCCUGUUCAUUUAGCCAGAAAGGAACAGAUAAUAUCACAGCCAUGAAUAAAAACACUAACCAAACAACGAAAUCCUAAUCAUGCAAAAUUAAUAUUCACAAUCAAACAUAAUCGAGAAAAACUUGUAAGAUUAUGAGACUGUUGAAGAAAUAAACAAACUUGGGAAAACCUGAUUAC